GGUAAUUCUAGAGCUAAUACAUGCACCAAAGCUCCGAUUUUCUGACGAGCGCAUCUAUUAAAUUAAAACCAAUCGGGUUUCGGCCCGUAAAUUGGUGACUCUGAAUAACUAUAGCUGAUCGCAUGGUCUCGAACCGGCGACGUGUCUAUCAAGUGUCUGCCUUAUCAACUGUCGAUGGUAGUUUAUGUGCCUACCAUGGUUGUAACGGGUAACGGAGAAUAAGGGUUCGACUCCGGAGAGGGAGCCUGAGAAACGGCUACCACAUCCAAGGAAGGCAGCAGGCGCGCAAAUUACCCACUCUCGGCAUGAGGAGGUAGUGACGAAAAAUAACGAGACCGUUCUCUAUGAGGCCGGUUAUCGGAAUGGGUACAAUUUAAACCCGUUAACGAGGAUCUAUGAGAGGGCAAGUCUGGUGCCAGCAGCCGCGGUAAUUCCAGCUCUCAAAGUGUAUAUCGUCAUUGCUGCGGUUAAAAAGCUCGUAGUUGGAUCUGCGCCUCAGGACCUGGUCCGCCCACUGGGCGAGAACUGGGCUCCUGGGCUAGUUCUGCUGGUUUUCCCUACGUUGCCUUCAUCGGUCGCGUAGGGUGGCUAGCGAGUUUACUUUGAAAAAAUUAGAGUGCUUCACGCGGGCUUAUGUCUGAAUACUCGUGCAUGGAAUAAUAGAAUAGGAUCUCGGUUCUAUUUUGUUGGUUUUCUGAUCUGAGAUAAUGGUUAAGAGGGACGGACGGGGGCAUUCGUAUCGCUGCGUGAGAGGUGAAAU
rnacentral:rRNA from 1 species